GUAUUCACUUCGGCAGCACAUAUACUAAAAUUGAAAACUACAGAGAAGAAAAGUAUGGCCCCUAUAUAAGGAUGACACACAAAUUUGUGAGAAUUCCAUAUUUAA